rnacentral:lncRNA from 1 species
UUUUUUUUUUUUUUUUUUUGAUGAUAAGAUGCCUCUUUUCCUUGGAAAUUGAUUGAGAAGUCUGUGAACCCUAAAGUGAACUGUGUUCCUUAAAGAACAAUGGCAGUGUGUCUUUGUACUGGUUUCUUCUUUGGCUACAUUGUAACUAGAGGAUGAGAUGCAGAAGAUUUUUCUUUGAGGAAUUGUUAUGCACUGAAUUGUAUCCCCCAAAACUUUUGUAUUCAAGUGAUAACCGCCAGUACCUCUGAAUGUGGCUGCAUUUGGAGACAGGCUCUUUAAAGAGGCAAUUAAGGUAAAACAUGGAUAGUAAGGUGGGCCCUACUCCAACAUGACGGGGGUCCUUAUAAGAAGAGGAGAUCAGGACACAGACACCCACAGAGGGACGACCAUGUGAGGACAUGGAGAGAAGACGGCCAUCCACAAGCCAAGGAGCGAGGCCUCAGGAGAAACCAGCCCUGCCGACACCUUGAUCUUAGAGUCCUAGCCCUCAGAAUUGUGAGGGGAUGGAUUUGUUGUUUAAGCCGUCCGGUCUGUGGCGCCUUGGUAUAACAGCCCUAGCAAACUAAUACUGGAACGAAGUUUUUCUUGGUUGCUAAUAAAUAAUCAAUUGUGGUAUUAAAUGUCCACAAGAGAGGAAGGUCUGUGUGCUUGCACGGCAUAUUUGUAGAGGUUUGCAGGGAAGCAGUUUCUGGGACUCAGCCCUCAAACAUGGAGGCAAGACGUGUCCCUCAUCUUCUGUUAACAGACUUUCAACACUGGGGUCCCCAUCCAGUCAGGGAGCAAGAAAUAAAAGCAGUCAGUCUUGAGCCCCGCCCUCUCCAAGGAUUGAGCCAGAACAGGGGAGGAUGACAGAGGUGGGGAACCCCGGGGAAGGGCUCGCCCGCUGCCUGGCCCGUGGCUGUGUGGGCCCGCCAGGGCCUGACGCAGCUGCAUUUGAGGAGACAGGGUGAGUUUGACCGGGCAGAGAGUUCCCCAGGGUGCAUCCUCCACGGUCCCUCACUCUGCCCUUCUCCUCGGAGGGCUGGGAGGGGUCAGCGAGAGCAUCCCCAGCCUGGGGGACAUCCAGGCUGGCCCGUUCCUGGCUGAGACUCUUCUCUCUCAGCAUCGGCCGAGGCCCUUCCCACUGGAACACGAGGGUCCUCUGUGGGUUGGGACUAGGAUUUUGGCAGAGGUAAAGUACCAACUGGCUUUACGUAGCUCCUGCUUUAGAUGCUGCUGAACUAACGAGAAAAAAGACCAGAAAGAGGGAGAAGCUGGCUGAUGUUUUGGGAGUGUGAGGAUGGGAAAUACAAGAACACCCGCUUGUGGCUCAGUCCUCUCCUGACCACAGAUGCAUCCCUCACCAUGCCCACAGUGCUGUCACCCCGAGUCACGCCUGCCCUGGACUCCUGGUAGAACAGCGACUAGGCAGGAAGGUUCCCGCACCUGCAGAGCACCUGGGCCAGGUGGGGGAGGGCACAGUGGUGGAGGGACACCAGGAACAAGGAAACCUCAGGUGGGGAUGCUGGUGAAGGAAUAAGGUAGGAUGAUCUGAGGAAGAGCAGCUGUGGGGAGGGGGCUCAGGCUGAGGUGGGGGAGAAGCUAGAGACUUCUCUGAGGAAGAGACGUUUGAACAGUCUUCAAAGACCUAGGAGCCAACCACACAAAGAUCACAGAGCAGGACCCUCCCAGGCACAAGGGACAGCUGGUACAAAGGUCCAGGGCGGGCACGACGAGAUGGGUUCAUGGAACAGAUCUGGGGUGGGCAGGGCUGCUGAGUGGGGGUUCCUGGCAGGAGAUGCCAUCAGAAAAGUGAGGGGAGGGGGACAGACACAGAAGGGCCUUUCCAUAUAGGCCCUGGUGAGGAGAAGACUUUAUCAAAGGACAAUGGGAGUGACAUGUCAUGACUUACAUUAUAAAGAUCCCAUGAGGAAAGGAGGCUGGAGGGGGUCGGAGUGGGGGCAGGGGUUCGAGGGACCCCAGGCUCAGAGGGCGCAGGAGUGACUUGGGACUCAGUCUGAAGCGCCCCUGCAGGCUCCCCUUCACCUGCCCUUAAGCUUGGGGCCCUCCCUGCCAGGGUGAGGGGCUCCAACUGCACCUGCCAUGCUUGACCUUGGGCAAGGUCAGCCUGGCUUCUGCCUCCAGAGUGGAUCUGAAAUGGCCGAGAAACCCCUACAUUUCCUGGGUUGUCCUUGCAGAGACCUCGUUACCUUCUCCGGGACAGGCAGAGGGGCUCUCCUUGAAGGCAGAGCAGGGAAGGGCCUGAUUCAGGGGCCCAGGUUGGGUGGGGGAGGGAGAGGCCAGUGAGCGAGGCUGAGGCCUGUGCUACAGUGGGGAGGCAGAGCUGGGUCACAGGGGACCUGUCCUAGGAGCUCCAGCCUGACAGAGAGGCGAGAGAGACACAGUUCUGGCGCUGGAGAACAGUGGAGAAGGACAGAAGGACACGCACCCGUGUCCAGGGCCCUGGCCUCUGCAUGCAUAGAUGGGCGGUAGGACCUUGCAGGGCAUGCCCCUCAGACCCUGAGCCCCUCUGGACGGGGAGCGGGGAGAGAAGGCCUGAAGGCUGUAACUAGUCAGGGAUCCUGCCCGACAGCAGCCGGCAGGACUCCAGACUCCCCGGGCCCCGCUCCACCAGGGCCAGCGAGUUCAUCCGCUGGCUUCGCACAGUCGCAGAGCCCUCCUCCCCCUCUCCCCGCAGCCACAGGUGGGGAGCCACGCUCUUCUCCGCACAAGGCCGAGGUCUCCCCGUUUCGUUUCUCGGCGCACUUUCCUCCAGUGAGGCCUGAUAUCUGGAGGGGCCGGCCUAGAGGGCCAGGGCACCGGAGGCCCGCUCAGCAGGGGCCGCUGGCGACCUCAGUCCGCACCCCAAAAGGUGAUUAAGUUUCUCUCCCCAAGGUGGGGGAGGGGCGAUCUGCCCCCGGGUGGGAGGUGACUCUCCCCAAGGGCGGUCCCUGAAGAUGGAAGGCCCAGGGCUAGUCCGGGAAAGAUGGGGGAGUGACUCUUGUUCCAGGCUUUGAGGUCAGUUCCCCUUCCCGGUGGAGAGAGAGGGAAAGGCUGUGAAGACCCAGGGCCAGCCCCAGCCUUUCGUUGGGAACUGAGAUCUUGCAGGGUGUCAGUAACAAACUUCCUUGUUUACUGGGGAAGGUGGGGGGGAUCGUUUUUGUUUUCUCCAUUUGGGGAGGGUGGAAACCAUCAUAUGUGUAUAUGACCUGCGACUCCCCUUCAUAACCAUUACUGGCAUUUUCUCUUAAAGUUCCUUAGCUAUUAAAAUUAAAAUAUACCUUCUCAGUUGUCUCAUUUAUUAUAUUUAGAAACAUUUUCAAAUGACUGAGCUACUACCGUCAAAAUCGGUAGGUGGGUGAACUUCAGUGAAUAACUUUCUGCAGAUAAAACAGGCGGAACUAAAACCCGACCAAGUUAGUAAGACUUUCAAUAUCUUAGCAGUACUUCUAAAAAAAUUCUGUGCCAUUGAGUAGUCUGUUGAUCUGGUUUUUAUGUUUUCAUUUUGUUUCAACACCUGGGGUGCCAUAAAAAUGACUGCAUAAAAGGGGGCUGGCCCCGUGGCCGAGUGGUUAAGUUUGCCGCUCCGCUGCAGGCAGCCCAGUGUUUAGUUGGUUCGAAUCCUGGGCGCGGACAUGGCACUGCUCAUCAAACCACGCUGAGGCAGCGUCCCACAUGCCACAACUAGAGGGACCCACAACGAAGAGUAUACAACUAUGUACCGGGGGACUUUGGGGAGAAAAAGGAAAAAAUAAAAUCUUUAAAAAAAAUGACCACAUAAAGAAAAUGAAGGCAACACUUUCAAAAGGACAUUUACAGAAACCACUACGAACUGAUUUUGUCUCUACUGUGACUAUGUAUGUUUCAUGGUAGGUAACUGAAAAGCAUAUUGCAACAAAGCAUAUAGGAGAGUGGCUGCAAAAUAAUUUUCCCAAGACAACUUUUAUGAAUAGAACAUGAAAAUAAUUUUAUAUGCACUCAUGUUGCAUGUGCAGAAAGACCAGACAACACCCCUCUCUGAGGCUUGGCUAAGGUCACAUGUAUUUGUCAAAAUGCACAGAAAGUAAAGGAUGCAUGUUGAAAUUCAUACCGUAAAUGAGAUUAAGUAUUAGGGAAAAACUCAAGGAAGUAACAGCUCAACUACUCACUUCACCUCCACAAUCUAAUUCUCAAACAUAAUCACAAAAACUCAUCACACCC